rnacentral:tRNA from 2 species
CAGAGAGUAGUUUAAUUAAAAUUUCAAUUUUGGGGAUUGAUGAUAGGCUAAUAGUCUUUCUCUGA